rnacentral:lncRNA from 1 species
UGCAAUUUAAUUUCGAUACGCAAAACUAAAAGAAUAAUAAUGCUUCAUUUAAUUGUUUAAUUCAGUUUCAUAUCUGUAAAUUAUAUUCAAAUAAAGCAGCAGAUAUAAAGAGUUAGUAGAUUUUUUCCACGAUUUAAUAUUUUAUCAAAUAAUACGUUCUUUUGUGAUUUGAUAUAAUUUUUUACUAUAUGGCAAACUUUUUUUAUGUACAGGCUACCUACCACACCCUGCAGCACAAUACUAUAACUAUAUGACUUCAGGUGUUGCUUUCGAAGGGGCUCAUACGGUGGUGUUUACCGACUUAGCUCUUAAACGUCUAGAAUGUAUAAAGGGCGAAGAACGUACUUUUUGGCUCUCUGAAGGACAAUAUACUCAUGCGUAUGAUGAGACGGAUACUUGGAUACUUGGAAACAGCUUCCGAGAUCCUUUCGUGCUACCCCACAGUGAUCUACUGGCGAAAUAACUCUGAAACGUCAGUUACCCGAUACAAUAACGGAGUGGGUAGGAAAAGCAGUAUGCAUUAACUCCAAGAAUGGACUCAGCAUUUCAGACACAAGCAGCAUUAUUGCUUUCCAGCCCUUUUUGCUUUCUCUCCAGAUGCCCGAUUCUGCAGCAAGAGGAGAAAUCGUGUCUAUAAUCGCCUCUGUCUUCAAUUACAUGCCAGAAUGUCUGCCGAGAGAAAACGCUUCUGUAGAAAGGCGAUAUCAUUACAGCACCUCAACAGGAAUAUCUCACAAGUGAAGAAAAUCUGGAUGAAUGCGCUUCAGAAAACGGUGGUUGCGGCCAUGUUUGUGAAAAUGCAAUCGGCAGUUAUCAUUGCAGCUGUCACCAUGGUUUCUUGCUUGAUUCUAACGGACGAGAUUGCAAAGAAGAACCUUGUGAAUAUCUUGUGUCUUCGACUGAAGAAGUUGCUUCCAGCCCGAACUUUCCAAAUAAUUAUCCGAAUGGGAUGAAAUGUACAUGGAAAUUCGAAACUAUUCCAGGAUAUAGAAUCAAGCUGCUUGAGACUUUAUGAUGGAAACUCUAUCCAUGCGCCGUUGCUGGCAAGGUUCUGUGGCUCCAAGAUUCCUCAACCAGUUACAUCCACUACCCAGACUUUGCUUAUGGUAUUUGAAUCCGAUUCAUCUGUACAGAAACAAGGAUUCCGUGCUUUGCAUUCCACUGAUUCCGCCGGAGGUUAUAUCUUCUGGAAAUCGUCUCUUCAUCCACUUCCAUUCUGACGAUUCAAUUGAAGCAAAAGGAUUUGCUUUGGCCUAUUCAGAAAUCAUCAUGACUGAUCAUGACCUGACUGAUCAUUUGCACCUUCUAUGAAAGAUCAAAUUAGAACGGUCAAUUCAGAAAAUUUGUAAAACUUGUGUGAUGUGAAUAAUAAAUGUUACUUUGGAAAA